GUCCACAUAGCUCAGAGGGUAAGAACACUGACUGCAACUCUUGAGGUUGUGGGUUCGAUCCCCGCCUUGUCCA